GCUCGGGAGGGCCAGAGAGCGCUCGUUCCUCUCGCCCCUGGAGGGCUGGGGUCGGCGGGGUCUGGAGCACGCGCUUCAGCGACACAAGAUGCGGUCGUCCGCCGGGACACACGCCGCCUGUGAAUCGAAGAGAGAAGAGCUCCAUUUUACAGAUGAGAGAAACUGAGCCCGGAUGAAGAAGCGGCUGGCUCUGGGUCGGCCAGAGAGCCUGGGCUUCUGGAUCCUGUUGGAAGACGACUUCUGGGACCCUGAUCUCGCGAAUAUUUGGUCCGAAAUUAAAGCGGGCCCUCCUUUCACACUCUGAA